AAGUUAAGUGAGAAAAGAAAAAAAAAAAGAAGUUAAGUGAGAAACGGUAAAGCCUGAGCGGCUAUGGGCCUGAAUUUAUCACGACAACUCGUGGCCCACGGAGGUGGCGGGAAGGUGGAACCACGCAGUCAGAACUUCCUCCAGAGAGUGGCCUGGGAUGGAAACUUCCGAGUGGAAAGUGAGAUCCUGAUUUUUCUUGAAGACGAAAUGGGGCCCCAAGUAGGCCAUCUCCAUGAUUCACCUUGGAGAAAUCUAAUUACCCUUGAAUAUUCGACCUUCAAUGUGUCAACAUGAAUGUUUUCUCAACCUGGCUUCAUGGAGAUAUGGAGGCUGUGCUUAACAGGUAACAUUUUUCUUAGGAGUUAUUAAGGUCAUGGUCUAUUUCUUUAGUUUUGUGUCUUCCCUUUUAACCCACUUGCAC
rnacentral:lncRNA from 1 species